AGUCACGUUCUGAAGGAACUUGAGUCUUGUUUUAUUCACUAUUGAUCUGUGAAUCUGAAGAUUAAUAAUCACUUUCUCAGAUGCUUUGUUGUUGCUGGAAAUGGGAAUUUUUAGGGUUCUGAAAGGCAUCUGGCCGUGUCAAAGGAGCUAUUUCCAGGAGAGUAAACCGUUGCCCAGAUACCCUGUGUCGGAUGUACUAAAGGAGCAGAGCAGAGUCAGUCACCUGCAGCUGCAAAUCUGCUGUUUGAGCUCAGAUAUUUGGGGUGCCCAGAACUUGCUGAUAGAAAGUUAAGCAGCAG